rnacentral:piRNA from 1 species
UACUGGAAGUGAUAAUCUGCACCCAGU